rnacentral:rRNA from 1 species
AUGAACGCUGGCGGCGUGCCUAAUACAUGCCAGUCGAGCGAACGGACGAGAAGCUUGCUUCUCUGAUGUUAGCGGCGGACGGGUGAGUAACACGUGGAUAACCUACCUAUAAGACUGGGAUAACUUCGGGAAACCGGAGCUAAUACCGGAUAAUAUUUUGAACCGCAUGGUUCAAAAGUAAAAGACGGUCUUGCUGUCACUUAUAGAUGGAUCCGCGCUGCAUUAGCUAGUUGGUAAGGUAACGGCUUACCAAGGCAACGAUGCAUAGCCGACCUGAGAGGGUGAUCGGCCACACUGGAACUGAGACACGGUCCAGACUCCUACGGGAGGCAGCAGUAGGGAAUCUUCCGCAAUGGGCGAAAGCCUGACGGAGCAACGCCGCGUGAGUGAUGAAGGUCUUCGGAUCGUAAAACUCUGUUAUUAGGGAAGAACAUAUGUGUAAGUAACUGUGCACAUCUUGACGGUACCUAAUCAGAAAACCACGGCUAACUACGU